rnacentral:rRNA from 1 species
GUAGCUUGCUACCUGACCUAGCGGCGGACGGGUGAGUAAUGCUUAGGAAUCUGCCUAUUAGUGGGGGACAACAUCUCGAAAGGGAUGCUAAUACCGCAUACGUCCUACGGGAGAAAGCAGGGGACCUUCGGGCCUUGCGCUAAUAGAUGAGCCUAAGUCGGAUUAGCUAGUUGGUGGGGUAAAGGCCUACCAAGGCGACGAUCUGUAGCGGGUCUGAGAGGAUGAUCCGCCACACUGGGACUGAGACACGGCCCAGACUCCUACGGGAGGCAGCAGUGGGGAAUAUUGGACAAUGGGGGGAACCCUGAUCCAGCCAUGCCGCGUGUGUGAAGAAGGCCUUUUGGUUGUAAAGCACUUUAAGCGAGGAGGAGGCUACCGAGAUUAAUACUCUUGGAUAGUGGACGUUACUCGCAGAAUAAGCACCGGCUAACUCUGUGCCAGCAGCCGCGGUAAUACAGAGGGUGCAAGCGUUAAUCGGAUUUACUGGGCGUAAAGCGCGCGUAGGUGGCCAAUUAAGUCAAAUGUGAAAUCCCCGAGCUUAACUUGGGAAUUGCAUUCGAUACUGGUUGGCUAGAGUAUGGGAGAGGAUGGUAGAAUUCCAGGUGUAGCGGUGAAAUGCGUAGAGAUCUGGAGGAAUACCGAUGGCGAAGGCAGCCAUCUGGCCUAAUACUGACACUGAGGUGCGAAAGCAUGGGGAGCAAACAGGAUUAGAUACCCUGGUAGUCCAUGCCGUAAACGAUGUCUACUAGCCGUUGGGGCCUUUGAGGCUUUAGUGGCGCAGCUAACGCGAUAAGUAGACCGCCUGGGGAGUACGGUCGCAAGACUAAAACUCAAAUGAAUUGACGGGGGCCCGCACAAGCGGUGGAGCAUGUGGUUUAAUUCGAUGCAACGCGAAGAACCUUACCUGGUCUUGACAUAGUAAGAACUUUCCAGAGAUGGAUUGGUG